GUCCACGCCGUAAACGAUGUCAGCUCGGUCUCUGCUCUCGCAAGGGGGUGGGGGCCUCAGCACACGCGGUAAGCUGACCGCCUGGGAACUACGGCCGCAAGGCUAAAACUCAAAGGAAUUGACGGGGGCCCGCACAAGCAGCGGAGCGUGUGGUUUAAUUCGACGCAACGCGAAGCACCUCACCCAGGUUGGACAUGCAGCUGCACGCCGGUCAAAGCCGGUUCCUGCGAGGGUGCUGCACAGGUGCUGCAUGGUUGUCGU
rnacentral:rRNA from 1 species